rnacentral:rRNA from 1 species
UACGAAGGGGGCUAGCGUUGCUCGGAAUGACUGGGCGUAAAGGGCGCGUAGGCGGUUCGUACAGUCAGACGUGAAAUUCCCGGGCUCAACCUGGGGACUGCGUUUGAUACGUGCGGGCUUGAGUUCGGAAGAGGGUCGUGGAAUUCCCAGUGUAGAGGUGAAAUUCGUAGAUAUCGGGAGGAACACCAGUGGCGAAGGCGGCGAUCUGGGAAGAUACUGACGCUGGAGGUGCGAAAGCGUGGGGAGCAAACAGG